CACUCGUCGUCGGACGCUGAGCCAAACCCCAACAAGAUGCCCCCCUUCUUCCCCCCCGGCCCCCUCCCCCCUAACAUCCCUCCUCCUCCAUUCCUCCCCCCUCCUCCCAACGUCAGCCAGGCUCCACCUCUCAUCCCCCCACCAAGAAUACCUAUGAAUGUCCCUCCUCCUGGUUUCCCUCCUCCCAGCGGCCCCCCUCCCUCUCUCAUCCCCACCUUGG